rnacentral:rRNA from 1 species
UACGUAGGUGGCAAGCGUUGUCCGGAUUUAUUGGGUUUAAAGGGGUGCGUAGGCGGUCUUUUAAGUCAGUGCUGAAAUAUCCCGGCUUAACCGGGAGGGUGGCAUUGAUACUGAAGGACUUGAGUUCAGUCGAGGUAGGCGGAAUUGACGGUGUAGCGGUGAAAUGCUUAGAUAUCGUCAAGAACACCGAUAGUGUAGACAGCUUACUAGGCUGAAACUGACGCUGAGGCACGAAAGUGUGGGGAUCAAACAGG